CCUACGGGAGGCAGCAGUGAGGAAUAUUGGUCAAUGGGCGAGAGCCUGAACCAGCCAAGUCGCGUGAGGGAGUACUGCCCUAUGGGUUGUAAACCUCUUUUGUCGGGGAGCAAAAGCCGGACGUGUCCGGCUGUGAGAGUACCCGAAGAAAAAGCAUCGGCUAACUCCGUGCCAGCAGCCGCGGUAAUACGGAGGAUGCGAGCGUUAUCCGGAUUUAUGGGGUUAAAAGGGUGCGCAGGCGGAUUUUAAAGUCAGCGGUCAAAUCGUGGGGCUCAACCCCAUCCAGCCGUUGAAACUGGGGAUCUAGAGUGUGCGAGAGGUAUGCGGAAUGCGUGGUGUAGCGGUGAAAUGCAUAGAUAUCACGCAGAACCCCGAUUGCGAAGGCAGCAUACCGGUGCACAACUGACGCUCAGGCACGAAAGCGUGGGUAUCGAACAGGAUUAGAUACCCCUGUAGUC
rnacentral:rRNA from 1 species